rnacentral:rRNA from 1 species
CAAUCUGAUGGGAAAUCUGACAUUGAUGCUAAUGAACUUUAUGUGGAGUUGAUGUUUCUCUAAAAUUUCAUUCCAAAAGAAAAUAUUGGGCCAAUUGAAAUUCUAAGUUUUUAAAGCGGCAUGAUUGUUUUCCCCAAUGAGAGUAUGGCAUAUACAAUUCUACUACCCCUGUGACUGGCUUCUGCAGAACGAAGAUUUUAUAAAUUGAAGCUAUAGAAGUCCUAUAUGUGCAAUACCAUGACACAACAAAGACUCGCUGUUUUGGACACAAAAGCAGUGGAGAGUGAUCUAUCGGAGAAGAUUGAUUAUGAGGAUACUAUUCAAGAUUUUAUUACAAAGAACACUAAAAAAUAG